AGGAGGAGCAGGGCUGGAGGGGGUGCUGAGCAUGGGCCGACAGGAGGCACCGAGCAGACCUCAGGUGCGAGCCCAAAGCAAACAGCAAAGGGCAAAGUCGGAGCUGGGUGGAUUUGUUUGCCGAGUGAAGGGUUUGAGCACAGGGGCGAUGCCACAGAUCAAAUGAAGAUGUUAAAGGAUAGCGGACCUGGCACAGAUCUCACCACUAACCACUAACAACAAUAC
rnacentral:lncRNA from 1 species